rnacentral:tRNA from 1 species
CAGAGAAUAGUUUAUAUAAAAUUUAAAUUUUGGAGAUUUAAGAUAGGGGUAUUCCUUUUCUCUGA